CCUACGGGAGGCAGCAGUGAGGAAUAUUGGUCAAUGGACGAGAGUCUGAACCAGCCAAGUAGCGUGAAGGAUGACUGCCCUAUGGGUUGUAAACUUCUUUUAUAUGGGAAUAAAAUGUUCCACGUGUGGGAUUUUGUAUGUACCAUAUGAAUAAGGAUCGGCUAACUCCGUGCCAGCAGCCGCGGUAAUACGGAGGAUCCGAGCGUUAUCCGGAUUUAUUGGGUUUAAAGGGAGCGUAGGUGGAUUGUUAAGUCAGUUGUGAAAGUUUGCGGCUCAACCGUAAAAUUGCAGUUGAAACUGGCAGUCUUGAGUACAGUAGAGGUGGGCGGAAUUCGUGGUGUAGCGGUGAAAUGCUUAGAUAUCACGAAGAACUCCGAUUGCGAAGGCAGUUCACUGGACUGCAACUCACACUGAGGCUCGAAAGUGUGGGUAUCAAACAGGAUUAGAUACCCCAGUAGUC
rnacentral:rRNA from 1 species